AUUGAACGCUGGCGGCAGGCCUAACACAUGCAAGUCGAACGAGUGGCGGACGGGUGAGUAAUGUCUGGGAAACUGUCCGAUGGCGAGGGAUAACUACUGGAAAAGGUAGCUAAUACCGCAUACCAUCGGAUGUGCCCCGAUGGGGUUAGCUAGUCGGUGGGGUAACGGCUCACCUAGGCGACGAUCCCUCGCUGGUCUGAGAGGAUGACCAGCCACACUGGAACUGAGACACGGUCCAGACUCCUACGGGAGGCAGCAGUGGGGAAUAUUGCACAAUGGGCGCAAGCCUGAUGCAGCCAUGCCGCGUGUAUGAAGAAGGCCUUCGGGUUGUAAAGUACUUUCAGCGAGGAGGCGUUACUCGCAGAAGAAGCACCGGCUAACUCCGUGCCAGCCGCCGCGGUAAUAC
rnacentral:rRNA from 1 species